CGAAGGGUGCAAGCGUUACUCGGAAUUACUGGGCGUAAAGCGUGCGUAGGUGGUUUGUUAAGUCUGAUGUGAAAGCCCUGGGCUCAACCUGGGAAUGGCAUUGGAUACUGGCGAGCUAGAGUGCGGUAGAGGGCAGUGGAAUUCCCGGUGUAGCAGUGAAAUGCGUAGAGAUCGGGAGGAACAUCUGUGGCGAAGGCGACUGCCUGGACCAGCACUGACACUGAGGCACGAAAGCGUGGGGAGCAAACAGGAUUAGAUACCCUGGUAGUCCACGCCCUAAACGAUGCGAACUGGAUGUUGGGAGCAACUAGGCUCUCAGUAUCGAAGCUAACGCGUUAAGUUCGCCGCCUGGGGAGUACGGUCGCAGGACUG
rnacentral:rRNA from 1 species